UACGUAGGGGGCGAGCGUUAUCCGGAUUUACUGGGUGUAAAGGGAGCGUAGACGGUUCUGCAAGUCUGAAGUGAAAGCCCGUGGCUUAACCGCGGAACGGCUUUGGAAACUGUGGAACUGGAGUGCUGGAGAGGCAAGCGGAAUUCCUGGUGUAGCGGUGAAAUGCGUAGAUAUUAGGAGGAACACCAGUGGCGAAGGCGGCUUGCUGGACAGUAACUGACGUUGAGGCUCGAAAGCGUGGGGAGCAAACAGG
rnacentral:rRNA from 1 species